rnacentral:sRNA from 1 species
UCAUAGCCGCGACAGUAGUGAAAAUCCUCUUGAUCAAAAUCCAAUUUUUUCUUGUCCUAAAAGAGCGACCAACGGAAGCUCCUUUUAUGACUUAGAAAAAAAGGAUGUUGGUCUAGAGAUUGAAACAAAUGGCGGGAAACAGC